rnacentral:rRNA from 1 species
AGUGAACGCUGGCGGUAGGCCUAACACAUGCAAGUCGAACGGCAGCACAGUAAGAGCUUGCUCUUGCGGGUGGCGAGUGGCGGACGGGUGAGGAAUACAUCGGAAUCUACUUUUUCGUGGGGGAUAACGUAGGGAAACUUACGCUAAUACCGCAUACGACCUACGGGUGAAAGCAGGGGAUCUUCGGACCUUGCGCGAUUGAAUGAGCCGAUGUCGGAUUAGCUAGUUGGCGGGGUAAAGGCCCACCAAGGCGACGAUCCGUAGCUGGUCUGAGAGGAUGAUCAGCCACACUGGAACUGAGACACGGUCCAGACUCCUACGGGAGGCAGCAGUGGGGAAUAUUGGACAAUGGGCUCAAUCCUGAUCCAGCCAUACCGCGUGGGUGAAGAAGGCCUUCGGGUUGUAAAGCCCUUUUGUUGGGAAAGAAAAGCAGCAGGUUAAUACCCCGCUGUUCUGACGGUACCCAAAGAAUAAGCACCGGCUAACUUCGUG